GACAGAGGGUGCAAACGUUGUUCGGAAUUACUGGGCGUAAAGCGCGUGUAGGCGGCUCGGAAAGUCGGGUGUGAAAGCCCUGGGCUCAACCCAGGAAGUGCACUCGAAACUUCCAAGCUUGAGUUUUGGAGAGGAAGGCGGAAUUCUCGGUGUAGAGGUGAAAUUCGUAGAUAUCGAGAGGAACACCGGUGGCGAAGGCGGCCUUCUGGACAGUGACUGACGCUGAGGUGCGAAAGCGUGGGGAGCAAACAGG
rnacentral:rRNA from 1 species